UUAGGAAAUAGAAUCACUCUCCCCCCAUGCAUUUAUUACAACUCUUAUCUUAUUUAUUAGUAAAUAAAAUAUUCCCUCUUCUCUCCCCUUUAUUAGGUAACAAAAUCAGAGAGUUGUGUUUCCUCUUUGGUCUUCUCUCCCAAAGCUCACAAUCUGCUCUGAGAGAGCUCCAAGAGCUCCCUUUCUCUAUUAUUCCUUUGGCUUCAGAUAUGAAAGGAGCUUAGGGCUUCAUAACCCUCGAUCAGUUAAAGAAGUCUUUAAGGAUUUCAGAUGAAGGCACGCUGGGACAAUCAAGGCUCUCACCACUGGUUGGAUUUUGCUUCGUUGCUUCUCUCAUUCUUAUUUUGAGGAUUUUUUGCUUCGUAGGUUUUGAUAUUUACGUUGUUGUUUUUCGUUCACAGAUGUUGAGAAAUUCUUUCAAUAAUAUGAUCCUCAUGAGUUCUGUUUCUUAUAUGGGAUUGGUGGGGUUUUGGUUUUAAAAAAGGUAUAGUGACUACAAUAUCAAUUUGGUUUCUGGAUGCUGUUAAAUUGUAUAUUUUGAGUAUUUGAGAGUUGCAAUUACUCAGGUUUCACUUUAGAGUUGGUUGGAUCUCAGAUUCAAAGAUAUCUCCAAUUCUAUCCCUUAUUUUAUUUUCAUGUAA